UACAGAGGGGGCAAGCGUUAUUCGGAAUUAUUGGGCGUAAAGGGCGCGUAGGCGGCCAUUCAAGUGACGGGUGAAAGCCCUCGGCUUAACCGAGGAACUGCCUGUCAGACUGGAUGGCUUGAGACCGGGAGAGGUGAGUGGAAUUCCCAGUGUAGCGGUGAAAUGCGUAGAUAUUGGGAGGAACACCAAUGGCGAAGGCAGCUUGCUGGGACGGUACUGACGCUGAGACGCGAAAGCGUGGGGAGCAAACAGG
rnacentral:rRNA from 1 species